AGAGUUUGAUCCUGGCUCAGAUUGAACGCUGGCGGCAUGCUUUACACAUGCAAGUCGAACGGCAGCACGGGGGCAACCCUUGUGGCGAGUGGCGAACGGGUGAGUAAUAUAUCGGAACAUGUCCGGAAGUGGGGGAUAACGUACCGAAAGGUACGCUAAUACCGCAUAUGCCCUGAGGGGGAAAGGGGGGGAUCGCAAGACCUCUCGCUUUCGGAGUGGCCGAUAUCGGAUUAGCUAGUUGGUGAGGUAAAGGCUCACCAAGGCGACGAUCCGUAGCUGGUCUGAGAGGACGACCAGCCACACUGGAACUGAGACACGGUCCAGACUCCUACGGGAGGCAGCAGUGGGGAAUUUUGGACAAUGGGCGCAAGCCUGAUCCAGCCAUGCCGCGUGAGUGAAGAAGGCCUUCGGGUUGUAAAGCUCUUUCAGCCGGAAAGAAAUUGCUUCUAUUAAUACUAGGAGUAGAUGACGGUACCGGAAGAAGAAGCACCGGCUAACUACGUGCCAGCAGCCGCGGUAAUACGUAGGGUGCGAGCGUUAAUCGGAAUUACUGGGCGUAAAGCGUGCGCAGGCGGUUUGGUAAGACAGACGUGAAAUCCCCGGGCUUAACCUGGGAACUGCGUUUGCGACUGUCAGACUAGAGUGUAGCAGAGGGGGGUAGAAUUCCACGUGUAGCAGUGAAAUGCGUAGAUAUGUGGAGGAAUACCGAUGGCGAAGGCAGCCCCCUGGGUUAACACUGACGCUCAUGCACGAAAGCGUGGGGAGCAAACAGGAUUAGAUACCCUGGUAGUCCACGCCCUAAACGAUGUCAACUAGGUGUUGGGGAAGGAGACUUCUUUAGUACCGCAGCUAACGCGUGAAGUUGACCGCCUGGGGAGUACGGUCGCAAGAUUAAAACUCAAAGGAAUUGACGGG
rnacentral:rRNA from 1 species